rnacentral:rRNA from 1 species
CUACGGGAGGCAGCAGUGAGGAAUAUUGGGCAAUGGGCGGAAGCCUGACCCAGCAACGCCGCGUGAAGGAUGAAGGCCUUCGGGUUGUAAACUUCUUUUAUGGGGGAAGAGAGAGGACGGUACCCCAGGAAUAAGUCACGGCUAACUACGUGCCAGCAGCCGCGGUAAUACGUAGGUGACAAGCGUUAUCCGGAAUUACUGGGCGUAAAGCGCACGCAGGCGGCUGCUUAAGUCUGACGUGAAAUCUCCUGGCUUAACUGGGAGGGGUCGUUGGAAACUGAGUAGCUUGAGGCAGUGAGAGGGGUGUAGAAUUCCCGGUGUAGUGGUGGAAUGCGUAGAUAUCGGGAGGAAUACCAGAGGCGAAGGCGACACCCUGGCACUGACCUGACGCUCAUGUGCGAAAGCGUGGGGAGCGAACGGGAUUAGAAACCCCUGUAGUCC